rnacentral:tRNA from 1 species
GGUGCUAUAGCUCAGUGUAGAGCACAUGCUUAACAUGCAGGAGGUUCUGGGUUCAAUCCCCCUACCUCCA